GACGAACGCUGGCGGCGUGCUUAACACAUGCAAGUCGAACGAGUGGCGAACGGGUGAGUAAGUAGUGGGUGAGCUGGCCUGCACUUCGGGGCAAGAAUGGGCAACUGGGGCUAAUAACGGAGAGCGUGGGAUGGGAGCGGGGCAUAUCAGCUUGUUGGUGGGGUAGGGGCUACCAAGGAGGGACCGGUAGCCGGCCUGAGAGGGGGGACGGCCACAUUGGGACUGAGACACGGCCCAGACUCCUACGGGAGGCAGCAGUGGGGAAUAUUGGCCAAUGGGCGCAACCCUGAUGCAGCCAUGCCGCGUGUAUGAGGAAGGCCUUAGGGUUGUAAAGUACUUUCAGCUGGGAGACGUUACCCGCAGAAUAAGCACCGGCUAACUCCGUGCCAGCAGCCGCGGUAAUAC
rnacentral:rRNA from 1 species